GUUGAAAAAAUAAUGAAAAGUGGAAAAAGUAAUUUUUAAUUGUUAAAGUGCUAAAAAAUAAAUAAUAGAGAAAUAAAAGAAAAAAGUGAAAAAUAAAAUUAGCAGCAUAUUUUUAAUAUAUAUUUAAAAGAAUAAAUAAAAAAACAAGCUGUAAACAAUGAGACGCUGCUGCCUUUGCAAAAAAAAAGACAAUCUAUCAAAAGGAAGUUUUUUCUCCAUUCCAAAAGAUGAACGGAGGAGGAAGAAGUGGAGCGAAGCUUGCCAGAAAGAAUUCGGGAAAACUGAAAAAAUUUGCAUGGAUCAUUUUCAUUCAUCCUCGUUCAUUAAAAUUGGUGCGAAAACCGAAUUAGUGUAUAAUGCUGUUCCUUCGAUUUGCCUUUUCAUAAAUGAGACACCAAGGAUACGUUUUUCUAUUGUUUGGUCCUUGAACCCACUGAUAAAACUAUUUUGGCUGAUAAAGGUGAAAUUCGUGUUGUUAUUCGUUAACAUAGAGAAAUUUCUGCUAAGCAUAACGUCAUUACCACCGAUAAACGUAAAUUAGAAACUUUAGUAUGGAAUUCAAGUAAAAUACUAACGGAUCCAAAAAAUUAUCAGUUUUUGGUUAUAUCGCGUUUCAUUGGAACAUUUGCACGAGCUUUAUAUUGUUGUAGUUUGGUUAAGCAGCCUCAUAUGUAUGUAUGCGUUCCCACGACAAUUGGAUCUCCGCUCCGGAACGACCCGAUUCUCAAUCGGCCAAUUAUUAUCAACUCAGCAAUAACUGUAUCAACCGGAAUUUUUUCCCAAGAAGGACGUCCAGUCAUAGCCAAUCUGUUACAACAACAACAGCAUAUAUAUGUCAGUGGCAGCAGCAAGUCAUGAUAUUUUUUUCCGGUUUUAUUCUUCAACAUCUCUUGACCCGAAAGUUGUGAAAAUUCUCCCAGUACAUAAGUUUCAUCAUCCAUCACACAACAAGUUUAUUUUUUAUAAAAUACCUUAAUUUUCACUCUUUUUUUUCUUUUAAGCCCUUUACCGAAUUGAUCUGGAACUUUCCGAACUUUAUACGACUUCAACUUUGCGCACACAAGAAUCAGAGCAUUUAACUUUACGAGAUGCUUUUCUGACAGAAAUGUUCGGUAUAAGUAUCUGUUACACUUCAUCCAGAUUUUCUUUCAAUUCUCAAGACAAUAAGACAAUUUUUUGUCUAAAAAAGUGUGUACAGGUUUUUUCUGACACAGUAGUAGUGGUGGAGCAACAUCAGUUACAAAAGCUGGUAUUUUUAAUGGCACAACACAUUGUGGCCCGAUGUCUCAAAUAUGGGCAAAUCUUGUGAAUCUUCCUCAAAUACUAAAUCAUCAGAAGUUACAACUCGCAUGUUUGGGAAAUCAGUUACAUAUGUAUAUAAAGAAUAUUUUGUUGCUGAAAAAGAAGGAUCCUGGUAGUGUUACUAAAAUAGCUAAUCGUUUGGAUCACCAAUACAAUUAUUGAUCUGGAAAAGGAUAUAACAAUUAUACCGACACCAGUCUUCUCUGUAACGCGUAAAAGAGAGAAACACAUCAAAAUGGAACAGAAGUGACCAUUGUACCGGCUGGACCAACUACUAAGAGACCCAACAAAGAUCAUAUGCCGUCACAUUGUCAUAAAACCAGUUAAUGAAUACGUUAUUCUCUUAACAUAUAAUUGAUGUUUAUUGUAAUAAAUAUUUGUCAGGUAUAGAUUUCCUAUUAGACAAACAUUAUUCCCUUACUAGAGUUUUUAUUUAAAUACAGCACUUUUGUUCGUCCUGUCUAUUAGAUGUAUUAAAAAUAUUUGUAAUGUAAACGUGAGAAUAAUUUUGUUUCCAAUUUUUUCCAUAACCGAUGUAAAAAAUUAAAAAAAUAAUAAUUUUUUUCUUAUUUGAUUUAACAAAAUCAUGUCAAUUAAAGACUAUACUACUUCAAGCCCCCACAGUAAUCAAUCGAAUUCGUUUAUUUUUAUUUUUUUUUUUUAUUUUAUUUGAUAUUUUUUUUAAUAAAUUGAUAUAUAUGAAAUUACAUACAUAUGUAUUUAUAUAACAAAAUAAUAAAUUUUUAUAAAGGAAAGAAAAUAAAUUUAUAUCUGUAAUUCAAACCAGACAUUUUGUUCAAGAGAAAAUACAUUUUUUAUAUUAUAUUAUUAUAUAAUAAAUAAAAUAAAACAGAAUUAAAAAAAAC